rnacentral:rRNA from 1 species
GUGGGGAAUCUUAGACAAUGGGGGAAACCCUGAUCUAGCCAUGCCGCGUGAUCGAUGAAGGCCUUAGGGUUGUAAAGAUCUUUCAGCUGGGAAGAUAAUGACGGUACCAGCAGAAGAAGCCCCGGCUAACUCCGUGCCAGCAGCCGCGGUAAUACGGAGGGGGCUAGCGUUAUUCGGAAUUACUGGGCGUAAAGCGCACGUAGGCGGAUCAGAAAGUCAGAGGUGAAAUCCCAGGGCUCAACCUUGGAACGGCCUUUGAAACUCCUGGUCUUGAGUUCGAGAGAGGUGAGUGGAAUUCCGAGUGUAGAGGUGAAAUUCGUAGAUAUUCGGAGGAACACCAGUGGCGAAGGCGGCUCACUGGCUCGAUACUGACGCUGAGGUGCGAAAGCGUGGGGAGCAAACAGGAUUAGAAACCCCGGUAGUCC